rnacentral:snRNA from 14 species
ACAGGUACGCGCUGUGGCUUACGUUCUUUAUCCACUUAGCUUCCUUUCCCAGGUCGAGACUCAUACCCUGCACUCCAGGUGUGCUGACCUCUGCGAUUUCCCCAAAUGCCGGGAAACUUGACUGCAUAACUUGCGGCAGUGAGGAUUGUGUUUGCGCUCUCCCUG